rnacentral:lncRNA from 1 species
CAUAAAAAACUAUAAAUGACAAGUCGAUUAGAAAAUUUUCAAGCAAUCUCAGGGAAAAAGUAAGCCAGCGGCGGCAGAGUACAAUCGCUAAUAAAAUGAAAAAAAAAAACAAAAAAUGGGUAUCGAGUUAAAGGAAAAUUAAGAACUCCAGCCAGUCAAGCUACUAGCAACGAAUUCGAUGAACGAACGAAGUGAAAGGAACGUCGUGUAGGAACAUUCAAAAGGCUGACAACUCGAAAUGAAUUACGACGAGAAACAGCAUUGGCAAGCGAAUACUUCAAAACGAAAGAUAUAGCAAAGCAGAAUAAGUGAAACGAAUGUAAAAUUCUAGAAAUGUUCAAAAUGUAUUAUCUGGCCACCUUUUGUGCCCUCGCUGAUCCCCUGCUGCAUGCAUUCAUAAGAACAUAUGUAUGUAUGUACAUGCACUGGGUGUAUAUGCAUGUGAGUGUAUAUGUAAGUUGUUGUAUGUGUUGGCAAACUGCGAGAUACGAGUAUACUUUUAGUAUCUGAAGAAAUGAAAUUAAAUAAAAUAAACCAAAUGUUUUACGACGGCCUGCCAAGGGACGGGUACAAAGAAAGGACGGACGAAAAUAACACUGUAUACUAUACAUACAGUGAAUAGAACACCAGAACACCAAGGAGCGAGCAAGCGAAGCAACUCAAGACUCAACUGUUGGCAGUUAAAAGUGGUGGAAGUAAUGCUGGUGUGGUGUGGUGUGGUGUGGUUGUUUGACGUUACUAGGAGGGCGAGCAUUCUAAAUGUGCGAUUACUUAUGGUGCUGAAGAAAAAGAGCCACAAUGAAAACAACAAUCUCGAAUAGCCAUAGCCAUAGUCGUCGUCGUCGUCGUCGUCGACGACGUGGUUGCCGCCGUUGACGAUGACAAAGGCGUGUAGAUAAGAAACAGAAGCGAACACAAAGCACACAGAGCACACAAUCGUUGUGUACCUUCAUGCAUGUUGACUAAACGUAGAGCGCUGGCUGGCUCAUGGUUCUUGGCUCUGGGCUGUGUCGUGGCACAGCACGGCACGAAACACGACGCAAUCAAGGGAGCAUAAUAAAAAUGCGGAGGCAAGACAGUGGUAGGUAUUGCAUUUAAGUAUAGUGUGUGAAGUUGUGCGGCUUCAAAGCGAUUUGACAGCGACGAACGACAGAACAAACAGACGGACGGCCGGAUGGCCGGUCGGACGUGACCGACUGUCGCGGUAGAAGCUUUGAACGACAACAUCGAAAACACAAACACCGGGGUUUGCUGGGUUGAGUUGCUCGGAAAGAAGCAUUAAGUGAACAAACAGAAUCGAAGUGACAGACUAGCAAAACAAAGGAGCGGAUGGGCGGCGAAGAACAAUAUGCCACAUAGACGGCGGCACAGUCCGACCGACGAAGAGAAGACACAACCAACAAGCAAUAACGACGAUGUGCUGCUUGGCUAGCACCAAAGCAAACGCAAGCACAGAGAACAUCGAACGAACAAUGAAAGACACACACAAGGGAAUGGUGCAGAUGGGUUGGGUUGUUGGUGAGUUAGCUGGUGACUGUUUCGACAGCAACGAUUCAACCAACAGCCACUUUAACGAAAAAAAAUUUAAUAAAUUAAAACACAAACAAAAAAUCCAAAGACAAGCAAACUUACGAAACAGAGUCAUCGACGAACUAGAAGACGGCUACAACGACGGCGGCUAUACCCAGGGAACGACGAUGACUUAGCAACUACAUUCAACCCAACACACAAUACGAAGUCAAAGUCAGCAAAGCGGAUUCGAAAUUGUAUUGAAAAAUAUCAAAAAAAACAUACAUACAUACUACAUACUUGGAAAUAUUGCUGAGCAAAGAGGAGCGCAAAGCAAAAAAAAAACAACGCUGUAGAAGCAAGCCAACGAAUGAACAAACGAACCAAAUAGAACCAGUGAGCACAGCACACACACAAACAAAACAUCAGUAACGAGUAAAAUAAUAAUACGACUUAUAAGAAAGAAAAACACAUUUUUUAAGCGAUAGCAAACUCGGCAACAGAAACAGCAGAAAUCCAGCGCGAAAACAACGGCCAUAAUAAAAACAAAAACAA